rnacentral:rRNA from 1 species
UACGUAGGGCGCAAGCGUUGUCCGGAAUUAUUGGGCGUAAAGAGCUCGUAGGCGGUCUGUCGCGUCGGAUGUGAAAAUCCAGGGCUCAACUCUGGACCUGCAUUCGAUACGGGCAGACUAGAGUUCGGCAGGGGAGACUGGAAUUCCUGGUGUAGCGGUGAAAUGCGCAGAUAUCAGGAGGAACACCGGUGGCGAAGGCGGGUCUCUGGGCCGAUACUGACGCUGAGGAGCGAAAGCGUGGGGAGCGAACAGG